rnacentral:tRNA from 1 species
GGUUGUAGCUCAGUGAUAGAGUGCAUGUCUACCACACAUGAGGCCCUAGGUUCCAAAUCUAGAGCCA